rnacentral:tRNA from 1 species
GCCCGCGUGGUGAAAUUGGUAGACGCGUUGGACUCAAAAUCCAAUGGUAGCAAUACCGUGCCGGUUCAAGUCCGGCCGCGGGCACCA